AGAGAACAGACGGCGGCGGGGAUCUUCAGAAUAGCGCGAUCGGAACCAGAAGAACUCUCGAUAGCAGAACCACCACAGAUAUGAUCGACGAUCAGGACCUCGGCUUCUUUGCCAAUUUUCUUGGCAUCUUUAUUUUUGUACUGGUGAUUGCAUAUCAUUUUGUGAUGGCUGAUCCAAAAUAUGAAGGCAACUAAGGUUUUCUUUCUGGUUUGUGAGGGUGAUAGUGAUGCCAUAGGGAAAGGGUACCCUAGAGCACCUGGCGUAGGUCGAGGUGGCCAUAGCCCGACAGGUUGGCUCCAUAUUUAUUGGUAAGGGAAAAGCUAUUAUUGGGGGCGAGUCCAGUAGGACCAAGGCCUAGGAAUAGUGGUGUACGGAGAAGCGUCGUAACUGAAGAUCCUGAUUAGUUUUUGGUGAGACUUGAGAUUAAAUGAUUUUUAUUUUGUUAGUAACAUUAGAGUCUCUUAUUUAUUUUGUAUGGCCUUCAAGCCCAAACUCAUGAGAUAUUGGAAGUGUAACUGAACUUAAAUUUACUUUCCGCAGCUAGUGAAUGAAAUGAGCUUUCUGUUUA